GCUGGGCAUGGUGGCUCAUGCCUGUAAUCCCAGCAUUUUGGGAGGCUGAGGUGGGUGGAUCACCUGAGGUCAGGAGUUCAAGACCAGCCUGGCCAACAUGGUGAAACCCCAUCUCUA
rfam:Pan troglodytes isolate Yerkes chimp pedigree #C0471 (Clint) chromosome 6, whole genome shotgun sequence.